rnacentral:rRNA from 1 species
UAGGGAAUCUUCGGCAAUGGACGAAAGUCUGACCGAGCAACGCCGCGUGAGUGAAGAAGGUUUUCGGAUCGUAAAACUCUGUUGUUAGAGAAGAACAAGGAUGAGAAGAGAAUGUUCAUCCCUUGACGGUAUCUAACCAGAAAGCCACGGCUAACUACGUGCCAGCAGCCGCGGUAAUACGUAGGUGGCAAGCGUUGUCCGGAUUUAUUGGGCGUAAAGCGAGCGCAGGCGGUUCUUUAAGUCUGAUGUGAAAGCCCCCGGCUCA